AACGAACGCUGGCGGCGUGCCUAACACAUGCAAGUCGUGCGGGAAAGCGGGGGCAACUCCGCAAGUACAGCGGCGCACGGGUGAGUAACACGUAGGUAACCUACCUCAGAGCCUGGGAUAACCUGUCGAAAGAUGGGCUAAUACCGGAUAAGACCACGAGGGCUGCGGUCCUCGGGGCAAAUGGUGGCCUCUACUUGUAAGCUACCACUCAGAGAUGGGCCUGCGUGCCAUUAGCUUGUUGGCGGGGUAAUGGCCCACCAAGGCGAAGAUGGCUAGCUGGUCUGAGAGGAUGGCCAGCCACACUGGGACUGAGACACGGCCCAGACUCCUACGGGUGGCAG
rnacentral:rRNA from 1 species